UAAGGGCGCGCGGUGGAUGCCUAGGCUCUCGGAGGCGAAGAAGGACGCGAUAAGCCGCGAUAGUCCACGGCGAGGUGCAAGUAACCCUUGACCCGUGGGUUUCCGAAUGGGGCAACCCGGCCGUCUAGAUGACGGUCAUGCAUUAUCAUGCAGGCGAACGCGGGGAACUGAAACAUCUCAUUACCCGCAGGAGAAGAAAACAAAAUGUGAUUCCCCCAGUAGUGGCGAGCGAACGGGGAAGAGCCCAAACCGGUAGCGUUUCGGCGAUACCGGGGUCAUGGGACCACGCCAUUCGAAACAAGAUGAAGUGCAAUUACCUGGAAAGGUAAGCCGCGGAGGGUGAUAGCCCCGUGCACGUCAAUUCUUGUGGAGAUAGUGGAAUCCCGAGUAGGGCGGGACACGAGAAAUCCUGCCUGAAUUCGCCAGGACCUCCUGGCAAGGCUAAAUACUCCCGAGAGACCGAUAGUGAACCAGUACCGCGAGGGAAAGGUGAAAAGUACCCCGAGCAGGGGGGUGAAAUAGACCCUGAACCCGCGCGCCUACAAGCGGUCGGAGCUGCCUUGUGCAGUGACGGCGUGCCUUUUGCAUAAUGAGCCUACGAGUUAGUCGUCACCAGCGAGGUUAAGGGCUUCAGGCCCGUAAGCCGAAGUGAAAGCGAGCCUUAACAGGGCGUCAAGUUGGUGGCGCUAGACGCGAAACCUUGUGAUCUACCCACGAGCAGGUUGAAGUCGCGGUAACACGUGAUGGAGGACCGAACCGGUAAACGUUGAAAAGUUUUCGGAUGACUCGCGGGUAGGGGUGAAAGGCCAAUCAAACUGGGAAAUAGCUCGUACUCUCCGAAAUGCAUUUCGGUGCAGCCUGUGAUGUUCUGUUCCAGAGGUAGAGCUACUGGUUGGACGCGAGGGCUUCACCGCCUAUCAAAUCCGGAUAAACUCCGAAUGCUGGAACACGAAAUCAUGGAGUGAGCCCGCGGGUGCUAAGGUCCGCGGACGAGAGGGAAAGAACCCGGACCACCGGCUAAGGUCCCGGAUGGACAGUUAAGUUGAUCAAACGAGGUGGGAUCGCUGAGACAGCUAGGAUGUUGGCUUGGAAGCAGCCAUUCAUUUAAAGAGUGCGUAACAGCUCACUAGUCGAGCGAUCCCGCGUGGAUAAUACACGGGCAUUAAACUGUCAACCGAAGCCGUGGGGUCAGCGAAAAGCUGACCGGUAGGAGAGCAUUCCUGCCAGCGUCGAAGGUCACCCGCGAGAGUGACUGGAGCGGCAUGAAAAGCAAAUGUAGGCAUAAGUAACGAUAAUGGGGGCGAGAACCCCCCACGCCGCAAGACCAAGGCUUCCCCGGCAAUGUCAAUCAGCCGGGGGUCAGCCGGCCUCUAAGGCUAACCCGAAGGGGGAUGCCGACGAGAAACGGGUUAACAUUCCCGUGCUUCUCGUCACCGUGACGCGGUGACGGGGUGAUGAAUGGACCGCGCGCUGACGGAAUAGCGCGUUGAAGGCCGUACCCUUCGAGGGUGGUAGUCAAGCACGCCACCCGAGGCGAUAGCCGAUAGUACCACGAGACUCCGGUCGAGUGGAUAGCGUCCAGGCAAUUUACCCCCGAGAAAACCCGCUAAACUUCAAGUGACGAGGAACCGUACUGUAAACGGACACACGUGGUCGGGUAGAACAUACCAAGGCGCUCGAGUGAUUCAUGGUCAAGGAACUAGGCAAAAUAGUCCUGUAACUUCGGGAAAAAGGACGCUCUAGUGAUAGAGCCGCAGAGUAAUGGCCCAGGCGACUGUUUACCAAAAACACAUGGCUAUGCCAAAUCGAAAGAUGACGUAUAUGGCCUGACACCUGCCCGGUGCCGGAAGGUUAAGAGGAGAGCUCAUCGGAAACGAGAAGGUUUGAAUUGAAGCCCCGGUAAACGGCGGCCGUAACUAUAACGGUCCUAAGGUAGCGAAAUUCCUUGUCGGGUAAGUUCCGACCUGCACGAAUGG
rnacentral:rRNA from 1 species